UGCGAAUGGCUCAUUAAAUCAGUUAUCGUUUAUUUGAUAGUACCUUACUACUUGGAUAACCGUGGUAAUUCUAGAGCUAAUACAUGCUAAAAACCUCGACUUCGGGAGGGGUGUAUUUAUUAGAUAAAAAACCAAUGCCCUCCGGGGCUCCUUGGUGAUUCAUAAUAACUUAACGAAUCGCAUGGCCUUGUGCCGGCGAUGGUUCAUUCAAAUUUCUGCCCUAUCAACUUUCGAUGGUAGGAUAGUGGCCUACCAUGGUUUCAACGGGUAACGGGGAAUUAGGGUUCUAUUCCGGAGAGGGAGCCUGAGAAACGGCUACCACAUCCAAGGAAGGCAGCAGGCGCGCAAAUUACCCAAUCCCGACACGGGGAGGUAGUGACAAUAAAUACUGAUACAGGGCUCUUUUGGGUCUUGUAAUUGGAAUGAGUACAAUUUAAAUCCCUUAACGAGGAACAAUUGGAGGGCAAGUCUG
rnacentral:rRNA from 1 species